AAGUUUUGGGAUCAAUCCGAUAUCGAUUGGCCAAUGAAAGAGGAUAAUUCAAGUUCGCACGAAGUUCGUUCAUCAAAUGGUGUAUUGCAUAGUUUUAGCGAUUCGAUUUCACUCAAAACCAAAGGACUCCUCUCACCAUAUUAUGAUGUUGACCAAGUUUUGGGCUCAAUCUCAUAUCGAUUGGCCAAUGAAAGUGGACAAAUCAAGUUCGCACGAAUUUCGUUCCGU
rnacentral:lncRNA from 1 species